rnacentral:rRNA from 1 species
CCCUUAGAUGUCCUGGGCUGCACGCGCGCUACACUGAUGUGUCCAGUAAGCACCUAACCUCUUCCGAAAGGAACGGGUAACCUUUGCAAAGCACAUCGUGAUGGGGAUAGAUUAUUGCAAUUAUUAGUCUUGAACGAGGAAUUCCUAGUAAGCACAAGUCAUCAGCUUGUGUUGAUUACGUCCCUGCCCUUUGUACACACCGCCCGUCGCUCCUACCGAUUGAAUGUUCCGGUGAGCUCUUCGGACUGCGCGGUCUGCAGUUUCUGCGUUCCGUGCGGAAAGUUGCGCAAACCUAAACAUUUAGAGGAAGGAGAAGUCGUAACA